AAGAAAAAUAAAGCAUCAUUUCUUUUUUUUUCAGCAAAGCCUUGCUUUGUGGUCCAGGCUGGCCUUGGAUCUUCCUGCUUCAAUUUGAGAUUAUAGGCAUUUUGGACACCAUGCCUAGCAGAGAAUUUGCAUUUCUAAGUAGUUCCUGGAGUGCCUGACUCCAGUGAUGUUGUAGCCCAGGAACUAGUCAAAAGAGGAACUAACCAAAGAGAAAUGAAGUCUGUGAUCAUAUGGAUCUGAAAGAAACAAACAAGACUGUGCUACUCCACUGUGCUGGGAACUGUAUACAUUCAGCUGGGUCAAAACCUCCUGGUUGUUCUGAAGCAAUUUUUUCAUUAGCAAAUGACAUUGUAUUCCUGGUUGAUUCCUCUGACC
rnacentral:lncRNA from 1 species